AUGAGGGCCCUGCUGCCCUCGGGGAGGCCCGAGGCAGGAAGAGUCGAAUGUGCCCCGGGGGCGGGGGCAGGGGCGGAGUCUCACCCUCACCCACAGCUGCCGGCCCUCGCCCCCCACCUCCCCGCCGCCCUUCCCCCAAAGCACCCAAGCAGCUGGCCCAAGGCUCCGGCACCUUCCGCGUCCCGUCAGGGGGCGUAUCCGAGGAAGGCCCAAGGUUCUGCCCUGGCUCCCUGGCCACUGGUCUCCUCCCAUGGGGCCCUUCAAGGCUGGGGACCCUCUGUGGCUGCAGAGCCAACCCUUGCUCCCGAGGGCCACCUGGGAGGCUACAUGGGCACGGCACCCUGGGCCCGCACCUGUGGAGACUCCACGGCCCGGGGCUCAGCCCGGCUCAGUUGGCGGUGGUGGGAGAGAAGGGAAGGCUCAGACCCCCCCUCCUCCGGCCCCCUCUCCGGCCCCUCUCGGCCCCGGGGGGAGACUGGGGGCGGCAUGCCAGGAGAGGAAGAGGACGGGGAAGCCCGGGCUCCGGUUGCCCAAAGCCACCUGUGGGCUCAGGGCUCGCGCGAGAGAGGCUGCUCGGUUGGCCCCAGGGCCUUCCUCUCGCUUCAGCUGGCGGUCCUCUCGCUGAGGAGCUCCAGCCGUCCGUGGGGUCUCCGGAGUCUCCUUGCCGCAGGAGGGCAGAGACCAAGGACCACUCCCUGGCCGCCUUCCGUGUGCCCAGACUGCCCGCCACGCCCAGCCACAGCCCUGGAACCCAGCUCCAUCCACAAGGCAGAGAGCAGAGAGUUGCCUUCUGUCUCUGGGUCUGUCUGGCUGUCUCCCUCCACCUCUCCCUCUCGCUCUCUCUCUCUCUGGUCUCUCCCUCGACUUCCACUGUCUGUCCAGGUCAGGAGGAGCAGGGGCAUCGAGGCAGGUGGUUGUGACACCACGGAGCAGAGCACAAUGAGUCACUACUCUUUCAGAAUUAGCUCAACCUCCCCUGUGUUUCCAAGUACAGUGUUACAGAGUAAUGUAUCCUAUCUGAAAGUUAGUGUUAGAGAAAAUCGUAUGUAG
rnacentral:lncRNA from 1 species